rnacentral:lncRNA from 1 species
GCGGCGACGCUCGCUGCCUGCUGUCUGCUGCCGCCGCCGCGCCGCCGCCGCUGCCGCCGCCGCCGGUGUCAGCCUCCCUCGGGAGACUCCAUUUGCUCUCAGGUUGGUUCGGCCGCCGCGAAGGCAGGCGGAGAGCGAUGCCUCCGGCCCGCGGACUGGCGUCCCCUGGGCCAAGCGCCCGCCUGCUCGCUGGCUGGCUGCGGCGGUGACAUCCUGGUCGCUGGCGUCCACGGAGGAAUCCGGGCUCCCACGGAGCAAAGACGUCCGGCGUUCCGGAGCUCUCCGUGCGGGGAGAGGCCCUUGCUAACGCGGCUCCUCUCUGACCUCUUAAUUUCAGGAGGUUUCGGAGGCUCCGAGUGCCUAUACAGCCCCCGACAGGAACUACUUCUGUUGGCCCAUGGAGGAUCAUCUUUCACCAGGAUUAUCGUAACAUCUUCACUGAGCCUUCCCCCACCCCAUACCCUCUACCAUGAGUCCUGAUUUCUGCCAAUGAAGUUUUUUGAUGCUUUCUUUAAUCAUGUGACACCACUUCUUGUCCACCUUUUUCCUUUUCAGUUGCCAAACACAUGAGGUGGAGGUUUGUGUCAUGUUAAAGUACACAGUUUCCUGCCUGUCCACUUUCACCUGAUUCGCACCGCUCCCUUCUGUUCAGCUUGCCUUACCCUGAUUGCUUACGAUUUCCAUAACCACUCACUUGCACAUGGUGUAGCAGCCCUUGCCUGGGGAGGUAGCAUUCCAUACAGCGCACUGCCUGACGAGGACAGCAGUCAGGGGGCGAGUUUUCCCGUUGGAUUUUCCUAUCAGGUUUGCAAGCCCUUCUUCCAGCUCUUUGUUCCCUAGCACAGUGCCCCAAAUACUCCCACCAGAGUCUUAGUUUCUUUAACAUAGAGCUUCGCCCAUAAGGAUGGCAAGAAUCAAGUAUGUAAUGUGACUGUUUUAGAGACCUUGCUGGUGCAAUAUUGGUUGUCAUCGCCACUGAGAUCGCAGUUCAUGAAAAGAUCUUAAAUUAAGGGAGGAGGAGGCAAGAUAGAAGGUAGGAUUAAGUGGAGCCAGUCCUUGUUGUUUGAAGUUUGUAAGUUUCAAAACAGCAAAGCGAAGAGAGUCAUGUAGGCCUUGUCUGGAAAUUGGCCAGCACACUGUCCAUCUAGGUCCUAGGGGGGCAGGAAAGGGACCUUAAAACCCCAUUUUCUAGUCUCAUUGUGUCCAAAUCUAAGUUGUUACGUAUCUUGUUCUAGUAAUCGUCUAAAAUAUUAGAUACAAUGUUGGGGAAACGAAAGCGUGUGGUGUUGACAAUUAAGGACAAGCUUGACAUUAUUAAGAAACUUGAGGAAGGCAUCUCUUUCAAAAAACUUUCUGUGGUGUAUGGAAUUGGUGAAUCCACAGUGCGCGAUAUU